GGUUGUAAACCGCUUUCAGCAGGGAAGAAAAUGACGGUACCUGCAGAAGAAGGUGCGGCCAACUACGUGCCAGCAGCCGCGGUGACACGUAGGCACCAAGCGUUGUCCGGAUUUAUUGGGCGUAAAGAGCUCGUAGGCGGUUCCGUAAGUCGGGUGUGAAAACUCUGGGCUCAACCCAGAGACGCCACCCGAUACUGCGGUGACUUGAGUACGGUAGGGGAGCGGGGAAUUCCUGGUGUAGCGGUGAAAUGCGCAGAUAUCAGGAGGAACACCAGUGGCGAAGGCGCCGCUCUGGGCCGUAACUGACGCUGAGGAGCGAAAGCAUGGGUAGCAAACAGGAUUAGAUACCCUGGUAGUCCAUGCCGUAAACGUUGGGCACUAGGUGUGGGUCUCAACCAACGAGAUCCGCGCCGUCGCUAACGCAUUAAGUGCCCCGCCUGGGGAGUACGGUCGCAAGACUAAAACUCAAAGGAAUUGACGGGGGCCCGCACAAGCAGCGGAGCGUGUUGCUUAAUUCGAUGCAACGCGAAGAACCUUACCUGGGUUUGACAUGUAGGGAAAAGCUCUAGAGAUAGGGGUGUCCUUCGGGGCCUUACACAGGUGGUGCAUGG
rnacentral:rRNA from 1 species